GCCGCUUUAGCUCAGCUGGUAGAGCAUCGCAUUCGUAAUGCGGGGGUCGCGUGUUCGAGUCACGCAAGCGGCACCA
rnacentral:tRNA from 2 species